AGAGUUUGAUCCUGGCUCAGGACGAGCGCUGGCGGCGUGCUUAACACAUGCAAGUCGAGCGGAAAGGCCCUUCGGGGUACUCGAGCGGCGAACGGGUGAGUAACACGUGAGGAACCUGCCCUCAGCUCCGGGAUAGCUCCGGGAAACCGGAAUUAAUACCGGAUACGACCCUGACUGACAUCGGCCAGGGUGGAAAGGAUUUCCGGCUGAGGAUGGACUCGCGGCCUAUCAGCUAGUUGGUGGAGUAACGGCCCACCAAGGCGACGACGGGUAGCCGGCCUGAGGGGGCGACCGGCCCCACUGGGACUGAGACACGGCCCAGACUCCUGCGGGAGGCAGCAGUGGGGAAUAUUGCGCAAUGGGCGAAAACCUGACGCAGCGACGCCGCGUGGGGGAUGAAGGCCUUCGGGUUGUAAACCCCUUUCAGCAGGGACGAAGCGAGAGUGACGGUACCUGCAGAAGAAGCGCCGGCUAACUACGUGCCAGCAGCCGCGGUAAU
rnacentral:rRNA from 1 species